rnacentral:rRNA from 1 species
GGUCAAGUUAUUAAGGGUGCAGGGCGGAUGCCUUGGCACUAGGAGCCGAUGAAGGACGUGAUAAGCUGCGAUAAGCUUCGGGGAGUUGCACGUAAACUUUGAUCCGAAGAUUUCCGAAUGAGGAAACUCACUUAGAGUAAUGUCUAAGUAUCAUUAAGUGAAUACAUAGCUUAAUGAGGGGAACUCAGGGAACUGAAACAUCUAAGUACCUGAAGGAAGAGAAAGAAAUUCGAUUCCGUAAGUAGCGGCGAGCGAACGCGGAUUAGCCCAAACCAAUAAAGUUUUCUUUAUUGGGGUUGCGGACAUAUCAUAACGAAGAGGUAUCGUAAUUGAAGAGGUUUGGAAAGACCCACCACAGAAGGUAAUAGUCCUGUAUGUUAAACGAGAAGACUUUAGAUAUGAUCCAGAGUACCACGGGACACGUGAAACCCUGUGGGAAGCAGGAGGGACCACCCUCCAAGGCUAAAUACUACCUAGUGACCGAUAGCGUAUAGUACCGUGAGGGAAAGGUGAAAAGAACCCCGGGAGGGGAGUGAAAUAGAACCUGAAACCCUGCACUUACAAGCUGUGGAAGCACAUUUCUUGUGUGACCGCGUACUUUUUGUAGAACGGGCCAACGAGUUACGUUAAGUAGCAAGGUUAAGCACUUAAGGUGCGGAGCCGUAGCGAAAGCGAGUUUUAACUGAGCGUUCAGUUACUUGACGUAGACCCGAAACCGGGCGACCUACCCAUGAGCAGGAUGAAGCGAAAGUAAAAUUUCGUGGAGGUCCGAACCCACGAGCGUUGAAAAGCUCGGGGAUGACUUGUGGGUAGCGGUGAAAUUCCAAUCGAGCCCGGAGAUAGCUGGUUCUCCCCGAAAUAGCUUUAGGGCUAGCCUCAAGGUGAGAGAUACGGAGGUAGAGCACUGAAUGUCCUAGGGGGUAUUGCACCUACCGAAGACUAUCAAACUCCGAAUGCCGUCAUCUUAUACUUGGGAGUCAGACUGUGGGUGAUAAGAUUCAUAGUCGAAAGGGCAACAGCCCAGAUCGUCAGCUAAGGUCCCUAAAUGUAAGUUAAGUGGUAAAGGAUGUGGGAUUGCACAGACAACCAGGAUGUUGGCUUAGAAGCAGCCACUCAUUCAAAGAGUGCGUAAUAGCUCACUGGUCGAGUGAUCCUGCGCCGAAGAUUUCCGGGGCUAAAACUUACUACCGAAGCUACGGCAUCAGUAAUGAUGGGUAGGGGAGCUUCCCAUACGGGUUGAAGCAUGACCGUAAGGACAUGUGGACAGUAUGGGAGUGAGAAUGUUGGCAUGAGUAGCGAGAUGUGGGUGAGAAUCCCACAGGCCGUAAACCCAAGGUUUCCAGGGGAAGGUUCGUCCGCCCUGGGUUAGUCGGGACCUAAGCUGAGGCCGAAAGGCGUAGGUGAUGGACAACAGGUUGAUAUUCCUGUACUACCGAUAACCGUUUGAGAGAAGGGAUGACACAGUAGGAUAAGCUAAGCACACUGUUGGUUAUGUGUGCCCAAGCAUUGAGGCAGUCAAAGUAGGCAAAUCCGCUUUGAUAAUGCUGGGAUGUGAUGGGGAGCGAAAUUUAGUAGCGAAGUAGCUGAUUUCACACUGUCAAGAAAAGUCUCUAUCGAGGUUAAAGGUACCCGUACCGCAAACCGACACAGGUGGGUGAGGAGAGUAUCCUAAGGCCAGCGAGAGAACUGUUGUUAAGGAACUCGGCAAAAUGACCCCGUAACUUAGGGAUAAGGGGUGCCACCAUCAGGUGGCCGCAGAGAAUAGGCCCAAGCGACUGUUUACCAAAAACAUAGGUUUCUGCUAAGUCGCAAGACGAUGUAUAGGAGCUGACGCCUGCCCGGUGCUGGAAGGUUAAGGGGAUCUGUUAGAGCAAUCGAAGCAGUGAACUUAAGCCCCAGUAAACGGCGGCCGUAACUAUAACGGUCCUAAGGUAGCGAAAUUCCUUGUCGGGUAAGUUCCGACCCGCACGAAAGGCGUAACGAUUUGGGCACUGUCUCAACAACAGACUCGGUGAAAUUGUAAUUCCGGUGAAGAUGCCGGAUACCUGCGACAGGACGGAAAGACCCCAUGGAGCUUUACUGUAGCUUGACAUUGGGUCUUGGUACUACAUGUACAGGAUAGGUGGGAGGCUUUGAAACCAGGACGCCAGUUUUGGCGGAGCCAUCCUUGGGAUACCACCCUUGUAGUACUGGGACUCUAACCAUAGGCCAUGAAUCUGGUCUUGGGACACUGUCAGGUGGGCAGUUUGACUGGGGCGGUCGCCUCCCAAAAGGUAACGGAGGCGCUCAAAGGUUCUCUCAGUACGGUCGGAAAUCGUACGUAGAGUGUAAAGGCAAAAGAGAGCUUGAUUGCAAGACAUACAGGUCGAGCAAGGAUGAAAAUCGGACUUAGUGAUCCGGUGGUUCUGCGUGGAAGGGCCAUCGCUCAACGGAUAAAAGCUACCCUGGGGAUAACAGGCUUAUCUCCCCCAAGAGUCCACAUCGACGGGGAGGUUUGGCACCUCGAUGUCGGCUCAUCACAUCCUGGGGCUGUAGUAGGUCCCAAGGGUUGGGCUGUUCGCCCAUUAAAGUGGUACGCGAGCUGGGUUCAGAACGUCGUGAGACAGUUCGGUCCCUAUCCGUCGCAGGCGUAGGAAAUUUGAGAAGACCUGUCCUUAGUACGAGAGGACCGGGAUGGACGUACCUCUGGUGUACCAGUUGUCCUGCCAAGGGCAUGGCUGGGUAGCUAUGUACGGAAUGGAUAAGCGCUGAAAGCAUCUAAGCGCGAAGCCAACUUCAAGAUAAGAUUUCCCACCGCAAGGGUAAGACCCCAGAAAGACUAUCUG